rnacentral:rRNA from 1 species
UACGAAGGUGGCAAGCGUUGUUCGGAUUUACUGGGCGUACAGGGAGCGUAGGCGGUUGGAUAAGCCCUCCGUGAAAUCUCCAGGCUUAACCUGGAAAGUGCAGAGGGGACUGUUCAGCUAGAGGAUGGGAGAGGAGCGCGGAAUUCCCGGUGUAGCGGUGAAAUGCGUAGAGAUCGGGAGGAAGGCCGGUGGCGAAGGCGGGUCUCUGGUCCGGCAUUGACGCUGAGGAGCGAAAGCCAGGGGAGCAAACGGG